UGAUUUGAUCCAUCAUAUACCAUAUCAAUUGCUGAGGGAGAUUCACGUAUAAGGUCUAAGCGUGCAAAUAAAUCCUUACCACUUCUAGAUAUCUCCGAGACCCAUGUUCUCUCUGAAACCCUAUGUCCUCUUCUUCUUCUUCUUCUUCAAUUGACUCUCCAUUUCACUUAUUUAUCUGAUUAAUUGAGUGAAAAUUAGAGGUUUUAUUCUCUACAUCACCCCUCAAUUUGGGGGUAAGUUACCCCCAACUUGCGUAGAAUUGAACCGUGGGAAGGUCCCAAAAGAUAUUUGUUGAAAAAUUCGGCUAGCUAAAUGGAGGAAGGACGAAAAAAAGGAUAAUGAGACCGGAGAGGUACUACUGACGGACAAAGUGGUAGCCAUGUUCGACAUGUUUAGUUCAUUCAUGAAAAAUAGAAUUCAGGAAAAUAUUGAUGACUGCUUUACUAUCGGAGAGAUCGGGGACUAGUAAGAAGAGAGAGAUGGAGAGAUCUUCAAGUAAAUGGGUGAGUCAAGUUAAUUCCGCGACAACUCGAUGCAUUGAACGGUACUCUGAUUUAGAAUAUGAGAGACUGAUGGAGUCUGCUUCUUAGAUUUCCAAGAAAUGGGAGAGCCACCAAGGGAGAUAUAAAAUCCGCUCACAGAACGUUGAGUUUCUAUGAAAGAGCCCCAGUCAGCAUCACAAAAAGCAACUAAAUUGAAAGAUGGUUAAUAGUUCAAGACAAUUCCCUGCCUUGGAUCUAAUCUACGAUAACACAAUACUCAAAGAGCUGCAUUGAAGUGAGAAAGGUAAGGACUUUGCAUGUAUUGACUGAGCUUGAGGACUACGCCAAAUUAGGCCGUGUAUGUGUGAGGUAAUUCAACUUAUCCACAAGAUGUCGAAAUACAGUUGGAUUUGGAAUAAGAGGGCCUACAUUUGAAUGAAGCUUUGAAUAUGGCUCUAAUGAGGAAGACACAGGAGGAGUUGCUGCAACAUCAAAUUUCUCCAGCAAAUCAAAGGUGAAUUUUCUUUGACACACAAUUGUGCCUUCUUUCUCUCGUAAUAUCUCCAUGCCUAGAAAAUAAUAGAUUUUCUAGGUCUUUCACUUUGAAUUCUGUGUGCAAAAAUGAUUAAGGCACCAACAAGUGGGUCAUAUCAUUGUCGGAAAACUUAUUUAAGGUCAUACAAAGACUUUUUGAAAAGGCACACAUGAUUAGAACUAGGAGGAGAUAGCCCUGCUGGAAACCUCAUGUAAACUUCUUCUUGUAAAUCCCCGUGUGGGAAAGGAUUAAUGACAUCUAGUUGAUAAAUAGGACAAUCGUUCUUGGUAGCUACUGCUAGUAAACAUCUUAUAGUAGUUAUUUUGACUAUGAAUAAAAAUAUUUCUGUGUAGUCAAUACCCUGUCCCUGUGUAUCCCCCUCAGCACCAACCUUGCUUUUAAUCUUUAUAUAGUUCCAUCGGUAUUAUGCUUUACUUUAUUCACUCAUUUACAAGGUAAAUACUUUUUGGUUAUUGUUAAUGGAACCACAUCCCAAUUGUGAUUCCUUUCCAAAGCUUCAAUUUUUGAAAGCAUAGUUUGUUUCCAUCCUAGGUGUGCAAAAAGCUUGGGAAAACUGUUAGGUUCUGAAAUUUCUGAGAUGGAUUGCAUAAUAUAUUGAUUUUGAUGAGAUAAAGCUCCAAAUGAAUAGAUAGUAGGGUGACUAGGUUGAGCAAAGCAUGAGGAGGUGAGAUCACACCGUUGCAAAUGUAAUCAUUUAGGUGUGUGGUCCAUUUAGAGACCCUAUGGGAUUUUCUGAUUACUGGUUAUAGUGUGUUGGAAUGAGCAGAACUGGAAUGUCCUUGUAUUAGAGAUGGAGAAAAGGAAGGUAUAGUGAAGUGAGAGGGAGAAAAGGAGGGCGAAAAAGGUGAAUAUGAAUCUAGUGCAAUAGGAAGAACAUGUUCAGUAGGUUGGUGGGUUGGUGAGGGAUCAGUAGGGAUAGAUUCUACAACAUAGGAUAAGGAAAUAUCGCGUUGGAGUUGAAUUGAAUGAGGAAAAAAGAUACUUGUCUUCAUGUAAAACUAAAUCUUUGGAGACAAGUACCUUCCUAAUAUCUAGUUCCAAUACUUCGUAUCCUUUCUGCCCCAAAGAAUAUCUCAAGAACACACAAGCUUUUGCCCUAGGCUCAAACUUGUUUCUCCUACUAGACAAUGCGGACACAUAACAAAGACAUCCAAAACGUUUAAGAGCUUGUAAGCAGACAACUUAUUGAAUAGAAUAGAGUAGGGUGUCUGUCCUUUCAAAACAUUAGAAGGCAACCUAUUGAUUAAGUAUGUGGUAGUCAACAAACACUCUCCCCAAUAGGAGAUAGGAACUUGUGAUUGAAAUAAUAGAGCCCUUGCUAUUUACAGUAGAUGUUUGUUUUUCCUCUCAAUAAUGCCAUUUUGUUGAGGGGUCCCCACACAACUUAGCUGAUGGAUAAUGCCUUGAGAACUCAGAAAUGUUGUGAGUUUUUUCCUAGUUCAUAUGCAGUGUCAGUGCUUAACUUCUGCACUUGGAACCCAAACUGUCUUUCUAUCAUGAUUAAAAAAUUCUUUAAAACUGCAAAUGCAUUUCCCUUAGUACUUAGCAAAAAAGUCUAGGUACCUCUGCUAAAGUCAUCCACUAUUGUUAAAAAGUAUUUGAAGUCAUUGUAAGUAGGUACCUUAUAAGGGCCCCAAGUAUCAACAUGAAUCAACUCAAAUGCUCUUUUGGAUGUUAUUUUACUCAAAGGAAAAGAGAGUCCAGUUUUCCUAGCUCUAGACACGCAUCCCAAAAAUAAUCACAAUUUGAAGAGAUUGAAAUAAAAUUAAACUAUUUCAUUACAUGAAAAGGAAAAUUCCGCAAUCUAUUGUGCCAGAGAUUUACAUUAGAGACUGCACUUGCAGAAAAGGGAAAGGAAAUUGAAACUUGACUAACAUCAUUUUGAUUAGAAAAGGAAACUACAUUAGGUUAUGAACUAUAUCUGACUCUACUAGGCUCCAUGGAAAGGCAAAUGACUUAAUCUAUUAUGCCAACGAUUUACAUUAGAGACUGCACUUGCAAAAAAAAGGGAAAGGAAACUGAAACUUGACUAACAUCAUUUUGAUUAGAAAAGGAAACUAUAAUAGGUUGUGAACUAUAUCUAACUCCACUAGGCUCCAAUAGAUAUCAUCCUAUUUUAGCUUUACCUAAAUCUUGAAGCCUCUUCAUUAAAAGGGCCUGCAACUGACAUUGACUAGAUGUGAGUGAAAUAAUACAAUGUAAUUGUAGACAAAACCUAUUGACAGAUAGUAGUCAUGAGCUACUACAGAGUACAUUUGAUAUAGCCCGACAUCGAGAUGUCACUAGUCAUGAGCUACUACAAAGUACACUAAAGUACCACAAGUCCGGAGAUAGGAACAAACUCUAAAAAUAUUGUGAACAACAUAAUAUAAGGGAGAAGAUCCGGUGCUGCGGACGCUAGCAGUCACCUGGCCCAGCUACGAUAAUAAAUCUUCAAUCCGCUAAUGACCCGCUACCGGGCGAACAAUACCUGCAACUGCACUCGAGGUGCAGGGAGUAAACUGAGUACUCCAACUCCGUAAAUAAUAAAAAUAAAUAAUAGCUGAAAGCAAGAAAUCAUGUAAGGCACUUCAUCAUGCUGUAUAGAACAAUGCAACCCUUUUUAGAAAACAGUAAAAACCGUGAAAUCCUUUGGAAAACAUCUGGGCUCAGUUAAAAAACAUCUUUUGAAAUUGAUCUUUUCAACAGUUGCAAAAAAAUAAUUUCAGAAUAAAUUGUGACUCUAUGCACCGAAAUCCACCCCUCGAGCAAUAUCUUCAUUCCUGGUCAGCCACUUCGUUCCUGGUCAGCCACUCGGGCCCCAACACUCAAGGAUCAGAUAGCAGCAGCAAAAGCAGAUAAAUAUCUCCAGAAAUAUCACAAACAACAAAUAAUGAACAAAUACAUGAAUACAAUGCAAUGCAUAUGAUGGUACAUUUCAGUACCCACUGUGGCGCGCAGUCUGAUCCAUUUAACGUUGACGACGCUCUUUGGGGGUAUGUACAAACUCUGGAGAGGUUUCUACAGCCCAAGCGUAAUGUUACUGUGGCGUGCAGCCCGAUCCAAUAUAUAUAUAUAUAUAUAAAUAUAUAUCUUUUGAAAUUGAUCUUUUCAACAGUUGCAAAAAAAUAAUUUCAGAAUAAAUUGUGACUCUAUGCACCGAAAUCCACCCCUCGAGCAAUAUCUUCAUUCCUGGUCAGCCACUUCGUUCCUGGUCAGCCACUCGGGCCCCAACACUCAAGGAUCAGAUAGCAGCAGCAAAAGCAGAUAAAUAUCUCCAGAAAUAUCACAAACAACAAAUAAUGAACAAAUACAUGAAUGCAAUGCAUACGAUGGUACAUUCUAGUACCCACUACGACGCAGUUGGAUUCAUUUAACAUCCACAACGCUCACUGGGGUGUGUACAAACUCCGGAGGGGCUCCUACAGCCCAAGCGCAAUGUUAUUGCAGCGUGUAGUCCGAUCCAAUAUAUAUACACUGCUGCGGCGCGCGGCCCGAUCCAUGCUCAUAUACACUGCUGCAACGCGCAACCCGAUCCAUGCUCAUCUCAAUAUGAUACUGCUAUGGGGUGCAAUCCGAUCCAUGCAUAGUCCAGAAAUUAUCAUAAGCCCCAUGGGCAUUUAUAAAACAGUAGUUCUCAGCCCGGAAUAACAUUUAAAAUAUCAUUUGAGUUUCAAAACUUAGAAAAUAUGGCUGAGUUUACAAAACAAUGUUUAAAAGCUGUGGACUGAGUCGAAUGAUAUGCAAGCGUAUGCAGAACAAUAAAAUCAAUCCCCGAAGGAUUCUACAAGUCGGCACGAGCCCAAAUAAUAUCAGUACAGUAUUAUGUAUCAAUCACUAAUAUAGUGUUAAUGUCACUUCGGAUGGACCAAAUCAUAAUCCCCAAUGGUUCUCUACCCCACGCUCAUAGUCGGCGUGCAAUUCACCUCAAUGCAACAAUUUGAUGUGCGAAUCCGGGGUUUCAAACCCUCAGGGUAUCAUUUACAAGUAUUACUCACCUUGAACUGGUGAACUCUCUAGCCCGCGACGCCUUUGCGCCUCACACCGGCCUCCAUGUGCGUCGAAUCUAAUGAAAAGCACAAUGAAUACGUUACAAUAGGCUAAUAGAACACAACCCAAUCGAAAAGACUCGAAAAACGCUAAAAAUUACGAAGUUGGCAAAACCCGAGCCCCGGGCUCAUUUCUCAAAAAAUUACAAAAUACAUCAUCGGACUCCUCGUCUCGCCACGAGUCUAUACAUAUCAAAUUUAUCAAAAUCGGGGUUCAAUUGCCCUCUUAAAACCCAAAUUUGCAUUUCAAAAACCAAGCCCUAGUUCUUCAAAUGUUUCACCCAAUUUUCCAAGAAUUAAAGGUUGAUUCUUCCAUAAAAUGAUGUUUCUAAGUCACCAGGCUCACCUCCAAUCAAUUCCGUUGAAACCCUCUUCAAUAUCUACCAAAAAGCUCUCAAGGUGGUUCAAGAAUGGAGGAAAUAUCAAAUGGGUCGCGGAUAAAAUAACCUUAAUAGCAUUCUGCCAUGGUAUGUAUUUACCCUAUGCGAACGCGGUCGAGACCCUCGCGUUCGCGAUGACCAGAAGGCAGUGACCAACUUUAACUCUUCCCGAACGCGGCUCCCCGCACGCUAACGUGAACCUUCAGGAGCCCCCACUACGCGAACACGUCUCCCUCCACGCGAACGCGAUGCACCAGACCAAGGACCACCCAAAAUGCCCCUAUGCAAACACGACCAUAACACGCGUACGUGAAGGUUCAAGGACCUUUUCAUAUGCGAACGCGAAGGCCAAAAGUGGCCUGCAAUAGCUACUGCAUUUCUACAACACUCCAAGUCCAAGAUUCAUCCAUUUAGCCAUUCGAAAUCACCCCGAGGUCCCCGGGUGCUCAAACAAAAGUAGGGACAUGACAAAUUACCUUAUUCAAACUUGCUCGAACCAUCAAAACGCUAUCGUUAACAUCAAAAUCCCCUUAAUUUCAUCAAAUCAAAUUCUAAAUUUCUUAAAAACUUCCGAAUUGAACAUUCAAUCAAAACCAGACCUAAACACUUCCGAAAGACCAGAUACUUUGCACACAUAUUUAAUAUCACCUAUCGGAUCUACUGAAACUCUCGGAAUUUCAUUCCGACCCUCGUAUCAAAAUCUCACCCUUCAAUCUGAAUUCGCCAAAAUUCAAACUUUGCCAAUUCAAGCCUAAUUCUAUAUCGGACCUUCAAAUCCAAUUCCGAUCGCACUCCUAAGUCACGAAUCACUCCCCGAAGCUAACCAAAUCACCGAAAAUCACAUUCUAGUCCUAUAACUCAUUAGUCAACGUCCGGUUGACUUUUCCAACUUAAGCCUUCCUUAAAAAGACUAAGUGCCUCAUUCAUUAUCAAAACCAGUCCAAAUCAACUCUAACACACCAUAUACCGAUGUCAAUAUAUGAAGAAGCUUAAUAUGGGGGAAUUAGAGCAGUAACACCUGAGACGACAGGUUGGGUCGUCACAUCCUCCCCAACUUAAAAAACGCUCGUCUUCGAGCGUACCCAGAGUUCCACUAGAAGCCAACCAAUAUCUGAAUGACCUUACCAAGCAUAUACCCAGGGUGAUCUCACAUCACCCUAACUGACAUAGGCACCGAUAAUACAACACAGCUGAAAUAUCACAGUACAUCCAGACCAUAAACCGUAGAACCACAUUGUACUUUCGAGAUCAUUCCCAGAAUAAACUCGAACAAGCGGUAAUAACCCACGCCUGCAACCUCAGGUGAAACCAUACAUCAAACCACAAUCCAACACUCGAAACGAUAGUCUCCAUUCACAGCAGUUGUCCAAAAUACUCAAAUACCGAUAGGAACCUCUUAUCAGCUAAUGUCUUAUCCCAACUCGUUCAUAUACUGCCAACGAUAAAUAAAACACGCGAUAACCCGUAGCCAUUCCUCAGAUCAUCCAUACAUGAAGCCACUUUCUUUUUGACCAGUACCACAACAGAAUUUCAGGCCAAACCUCAAUAUUAUCCUUCUAACCAGCUAAAAUCAAAUAUGUUCGUAUUCAUUAAUGACUCCAAUGAUCCCCUCGAAUACAAUAAUCACUCUGGUUACAUGACACCUCAACACAUGCCUAAGACAUAACUUGCAUCAUACACGCACUAAUAAGAAAGGGUCUGAACAUACUCAAAUCAUGGAAAAUGAUUCAAACGAAAGAGUUGUACCUCAAGCUCAUCGGUACCAUCACAACACAAGGCGGAGACCCCGUCUCACAUCAUAGGAAUAGAAUACCUGAAUCCCCCUUGAAAAGACAUAACUUCACUUGGCCUCGCCACAACACGCGAUCCUAUCCAAACACUAUUACACAUGAAGCACCUCAAGUCACCAUGCUCAAAGUAGACAUCCACGUACAGAUUGAUGCCUGAAACCAAGCAAUCCAUCACAUCCACGGUGAAGAAAAUAAUAUACAACAUUCAAUCUUGAAAGGACACAACCGAUGCGCUAUUUGCCGCAACUCCCAAUAUGGACUUUCCUCAGAAACCAGGAAGCAAGGCAUAGAAAGUAACAUAUGGAAAAACUAUUCUCAACAUCAAACUGCUGCGGCGUGCAACCCGAUCCAGAUAACAUACCCGUGGCGGCAUGCCACCCAAUCCAAACAUAUCCAUGGCGGCGUUCCAUCCAAUCCAUACAUAUAUCUCACAUAAGGAGAUGCACAUCGAGCCAAAUUUGCUCAUUACAACAAUAUACCGAGUAUCUGUCAUAAGUAUACUGAGUGCAUACAAUAUCUACAUGUAGCGUUAUAAUCUACCAAACUCAGGCACAACUGAGGUUUCCCCCUCAACUUCCACUAUGAAUCCUGAUAGCACCGCCCACCAUAUGUGCCCAUAACCCGUAAAUCAUAACGUCUCGCAACGCAGAAAACAACUCAUAGAUCUCUCCAGAUCGAUGAAAAGCUCAACAACGCUCGAGUCAACCUAUCCCUCGACAACACACUUCGGAGUCAACCGAGUUAACUCAAGCUGGAACACGCAUCUGAAAAGUCCCUUAACGCCAGAACUAGCUCAAUAAUAGCAACCUCUGCGCUAACAUCCAUCAUUAAGGUUCAAUAGGAAAAGCAAUCCCUCCCAGCCGUCCGCUGGGUCUUUGAAAUAUAGCCCACUCCACAAGAACUUAACCCAAUACACCUCGCCACUCAAACUGUGGCAUUUCCGACAUAGCCCAUAAUGCAAUAGUCCAGAAUUAAUCUAUCACUGAGAUAACCAGUCUGGACUCCAACAUCACAUCCAAUAAUCUAGCAAGCCAGCAACGAAAGAUUCACUCGAGCCUCAAAAUCUCAAUAGUCGCCAAGUGCCGAUACAUAUGAUCUACCAUCACAGUAGCCGAAUAUGAGGACUUCCGCUUCCAAUUCCACAUAGCACACAAUUACCAUACCUGAUCCUAAUUUUUCCGUCUGAACAUAUGUCACAGCUCAAUAUCCAAUAAUUCCACGACACAUACUCAAAAUUUCCUUGUGUCAUCAAGAAACCCAAAUAUCACCACUCGAACUAACAAGAAAGUACCGCAAUACUACCGAAGUAUCAUCAGUCUAAUCACAUUACCCUUCUCAACCAAGACAUAUACUCUCGUCAAAUCACUUCCAAUUAGUAGUACCAUUUCCUUGAUUACCUGAGGCUACCCAUUGCCUAAGAAUUUUAUGAACUUCUUUGCAGAACUGAGCUAUAACUCAUCUAGCCAAGACCUUCCGUCAAUCCCAUCUAGAAGAAGAAUCAUUACACAUUCCAUGCUUUGUAUGCCUCAAGAGAAUAUAUAUAUAUAUAUAUGCAUCUCCGAACCACGGUAAAGCUUAACAAGAACUCUUUCUCAGUUCCAUUUACACAGGCUAAACUACCAUGACUGAAUCCUUCUACCCAAACCAAGCUAAGCAAGCUGCCAAAACUCAUGAGCAUUGCUGCAAAAUGCCUGUAAGGCUCAUUACCUCGAACACAUACGAAUAAUUAAUCAUGCCCUUACCAUACAGACUCAGUUUACUAUCAAGCUAUUCCAUCUAUUAAAUUUUUUUCCUCCUGAUUCAUGAUCAACUCGAUAUUCCCUCUUGCUGUAGCACCACAAUACCUCAAUCCAGGCUUACCACACGAGACUCGAACAUAAGACCACACUAUUUAAGACCCAUAUGCCACUGAAUACUCUCUCAAAAUGUUCCCAGAAACACUACAUUCCAGAAUACUUUACUUUGAAGAACUUUCUACGAAUCUGAAUUUUUUACCAUGACUUCCCGAUGCCGAUACAUAGGAUCCCAUAAUCAACAUAAAAACACCACAAAUCUUGAACUUUUCCAAUGACACUCAGUCUCUACCCACAUACACAACCUUAAGACACUGAAUUGUUACAUGUGGAACCUUGAACACAAUAAAACCAUUCUCGAGAGUCCUUUACUUCAUAUUCGAUGUGCAAUUUACCCGAUUUAGCAAACAGAACCACUCGUGCCUUAAUAGCACUCUGACACCACAUGAUAUGAUCUCAUUCAAAUAUCAACAAACAUUUUUCUCCUCAAUACACUGAGCAUUCUUUAUCCAUAACAGCUCAAGACAUCCUAUUGUUUCCACAUAUCUACGAAGUACCAUAUAACCUUUGUCAAAAUUUUAUCUUCACUCGUGCCAUCCUCGGCUUAAUUUCUGCAACCAGAACUGAUCUGCCAGCAUAUCUCUAAACGGAACCAACAUAGCACAUGACCGUGCAAUCAGCUAAUCAACAUCAACCUCCCCAACUUGGCUCGAAGCCAUAGGCCAAAAUAUUUCAAUAGCUCAUAAGACUUUUACUCCAUUGAUGCCACAAUAACAUAGUGAGAAUAAGCUCCAGUAGUUUAUAAGUUGUGAAACACAAAUCUUCUAACAUGUACACAAGGAGCAUACCACGCUAGAAUACUCCGCAGGAGAUUUAGCCCACCUGUUUCGCCUCAAUAUAACAUUUCCAUAUACCUUCCACCGUCAUACAUCUUACAUAGUCAACUAGUCUUUUUGAGUCUGAACUCAAACCGCAACAUGAUAUUUACUUCACUCCCAACUAGGAGACUUGAAAAGAUUCUUCAUGCACCCAUAACUCGGGGCAACACAUCCAAUUACAAUGGACAUCAAACACUUAAUGGUUCACCUAUCACCCAGCAGACCUUCUUCGACACUUCCAAGUCAUAUAGGAACAUCUCGCAUUACCAACACACUCACCACAUAGCUAUCCAGCCGCCAUUCCCAUAAUUAGGGACAAUACUGGACACAUAAUUUCAUAACACUAGAUCUCGCCGUCAGCACCUUGGUAUCCAAGCCAUAAGCAAAGAUCCAGCCUCAAGUCCUCCAGACUGGUCCGACAACAACUCAUAGAAAUCACAUCUUGCCCCUCGAUCGGGGAAUCACAAGGUGUCAAGGCACAUCUGAUAAUAAGCGCUCACGUGCACAUACAAUCGCGUGGACGGAAUUUCAAGAGUUUUAUUUUCAAGCUAAAUCAAGGACGCACGAUAAGAAUUCAAGAAUGUGAAGUUUUUCCUAAAAGUUCUGCAGCCUCUCAAGGAUAAAUACAGAUGUCGCUGUACAGAUCCACGAGACUCUACUAAACCUGCUCAUGACUUGUGAGACCUAUUAACCUAGGCUCUGAUACCAACUUGUCCCGACCCAAACGUCGCUUCGGUCAUGAUGUCGCCUCUCGUGAAGACAAGGCCAGCCAAUCCAUUUAAAAAGCCUUUUUCAACAAUAAAUUAGCAUGACUAAGCAGUUUCAAGAAAAUUAGGUAACAUGAUUUCACAAAAUACAACCCAACACAGCCUGACAUCGGGGUGUCACCAGUCAUAAGCGACUACAGAGUACACUAAAGUACUGCAAGUCCGGGGAUAGGAACAAAGUCUGAAAAUAUUAUGAACAAUAUAAAAUAAGAUCCGGUGCUGCGGACGCUAGCGGUCACCUAGCCCAGCUACGAUAACAAAUCUUCAAUCCGCUAAUAACCCGCUACCGGGCGAAAAUACUUGCAACUGCACGCGAGGUGCAGGGAGUAAUGUGAGCACUCCAACUCAGUAAGUAUCAAAUGCGAAUACGGUCGAGACCCUCGCGUUCGCAAUGACCAGAAAGGCAGUGACCAACUUUAACUCUUCCCAAAUGCGCCCCCCCACACGCGAACACGAACCUUCAGGAUCCCCCACUACGCGAACGCGUCUCCCUCCACGCGAACGCGAUGCACCAGACCAAAGGCCACCCAAACAGCCCCUACGCGAACGCGACCUUAACAUGCGAACGCAAAGGUUCAAAGACCUCCUCAUACGCUAAUAUGAAACCCCUUCACGAACGCGAAGGUUAAAAGUGGCCUGCAACAACUACUACAUUUCUGCAUCACUCCAAGUCCAAGAUUCUUCCAUUUAGCCAUCCAAAAUAACCCCGAGGCCCCUGGGAGCUCAACCAAAUGCACAGAAAUGAGAUAUUACCUUAUUAAAACUUGCUUGAAAAAUCAAAACGCUAUCGUUCACAUCAAAAUUCCAUAAUUUCAUCAAAUCAAAGUCUAAAUUUCUUAAAAACUUCCGAAUUGCACAUUCGAUCAAAACUUGACUUAAACACCUCCGAAUGACCUGAAAAUUUGCACACAUAUCCAAAGUCACCUAACAGAGCUAGAAAUACUCUUGGAAUUCCAUUGUGGCCCUCGGAUCAAAAUCUCUCCCUUCAACCGAAAUUCGCCAAAAUUCAAACUUCGCCAAUUCAAGCCUAAUUCUACAUCGGACCUCCAAAUCCAAUUCCGAUCGCACUUCUAAGUCACAAAUCAUUCCCCGAAGCUCACCAAAUCACCAGAAAUCACAUUCGAGCCCUAUAACUCAUUAGUCAAUGUUCGGUUGACUUUUCCAACUUAAGCCUUCCUUAAAGAGACUAAGUCUCAUUUCUUAUCAAAACCAGUCCAAAUCAACUCUAACACACCACAUACCGAUAUUAACAUAUGAAGAUGCUUAACAUGGGGGAAAUGGAUAAGUAAAACCUAAGACGACGGGUCGGGUCGUCACACAUCCCCAAUCUUAACAUGCUUGACCAGCUGCACUAACUGUGAAAAUUGAUCUUUGGAGAGGUGCUUGAGUCAAAGACUCACUACAGUUGUUGUUUUAUUCUGUUGCCUCAGCUGAAAAUGCCCCAUUUCUCCUAACUUGAAACUGGCUUCAUUUGGUAUUAGUAAACUCAAUGUCUUCAGGGAACCUUAUGAUUCUACAAAAUUCAUUGACUAUAUGACCUAUCUUCUUGCAAUAGGUACAAGAUGCAUUAGGAUUGAAUUUGGUCUUCUUCCUUUGAAGGUUGGGUUCUUCUGUGUUAGAUUUAUAGGUCAUUGCAUAUAAGUCUUAUUGAAUUAUCCAAAGUUCCUUUGUGUUUGUUUUUUAUUUUUCUGUGAGUAGUUACUUUGAGCUACAAAAUUGCUUUGAUUUCCCAUCAUGAAGGAUGGAGAAUCAACAGAGAUUAGAGUGUUUGCAUAGAUUUUUCUCUGAUUUUCAUCUUGUUGAACCAAUAAAUAAGCAUGGCUGAUGUCGAGUAGAUAUCUCAUCAUUAAUAUAUUUCCCCUAGCUUGCCCAUAUCAAUCCUUCAAUUCCAUGAGGAAUUAAAUGAGUCUUUCAUCCUUCAAGGCCUUCUCUAGCUUUUGCUUCCCAUCACAGACACAAGUACAUAGGCACUUGACAUCACAGUUCAAAGAAUCCAGCUCAUCCCAUAAUCGUUUGAGCUUUGUAAAGUACCCUGGUAUGUCAGUUGUUCCUUGAACUUACCCUGAUAAUUCUUAGCGCAUGUGAUCAAGUUUUUCGCCACUUGACUGCCCAAACCUAUGCUCAAGUGUAUUUCACAGAUCUUUGGCAGACUUUGAGCAGAUAACACUAUCUCCAAUAUCUUUGGAAAGUGAGUUUAGAAGCCAAGAGGUCACAAUGUCAUUGCAUCUACUCCAAGGUUGAAAAUUCUUGGAGGUAGCAGCUGGAGCUGGGCAGGCUCUAUUGCUGAAACCUAGCUUAUUCUUGGCUGAAAAUGCAGUUAACACAUACGUCCUCCAUCCCCGGAAACCUCUCUUACUGAAGAUUGCAUUCACUAGGGUCAUUCUAGGUUGCAUCAGAAGAAUGGAGGAAGUAGGGAUAAUUUGGAUCAAAAGUCACUCCAUUUGUAGAUCCAAUUUGGGUGACAACAAUUUCCGUAUUAUUAGGCAUGGCGAUGAAGGUGAAGAGAAAAGAAAAUAAGAUAGAACAGAGAGAGGAUUGAACCGAGAUUCAAUGCUUUGAUACCAUGUAAGAUUGUAAAAGGAAGAAGACAAUUUUAUCCUUUACAAUGUCUAAAUCUCAGAAGUUAGCUCCUGAGAUAAUAACGAUUGGCCAAGGUUAUGUAAGGAGACAAAUAGACUCCCCCACACCCACCGAUCAUGGGAUUCAACACCCUAAUAUCAUAAUAAAUGGAGAUUUGACCUAACUGUAUCUCAAAAGCAACUACCUAAUGAGGUGGUGAUUGAAGUCAUAUAAAGAGAAAAAUGAGCUCCCACGCGCACCGAUGUGGGACUCAUUUCUGAACUACUAGUGGAAAGAGUCAUUUGAUGAUAAGUUAAAUGGUUGCUAUGGAUUUUUGCUAUGGUCCGAGACACAACAGUUGAGAUAUCUAGUUUAGAGACGGUUACAGUCGUGAAUUAGUUUCUACUUCUACCUCGGUUUCAAUGUGUUUGAAGCUUUUCGGAGUACGAUGGUCAAACAGAUUAAUUUUCGGUAUGAAUUUGAAUAUAAAUGCUUUAAGUUUUUUGAAAGGAAAAGAAAAAUAUAUAUUUAAAUACUACAUAAAAGUCUAUAAAUCGCAAUAGUUAACAAUUCAAAAAUUUUUAAAACUACUUGCAAAAAAUGUGACAAAAAAUAACAAUGUGACUCCCGAAAUAGUAAAAUAUUCAUUUUUUUAAACGGAAGGAGUAUAUAUGUUUUUGGAGGACUUAUCGGGGUAAUCUUCAGAGGAAGAGAUAAAGUUUUGCAUUAACUUACUACAAAAAAAUAAAAUAAUUACAACAGCAUUUGAAUCUAAAGUUUUGGCUCAUACCUUAUAUAUGUUAAAAAGCUCACAAAGUAUAAACGGUUAAGGGUCAGAUUUGCCCUUGUACUAUUCAAAAUAAGCUACAUUUAUCCUUCGUUUGAAUUCUUUAACAAAUAUACCAAAACUUCACACAAAUCAGAACCUUUCAUACAUUAUCCCUCAAAAGUGAUGCCGCACAUCAAUGCGCUUUUUCCUCUUCUGUUAUACCGGGUUCAAGCUAUAAAUACACCAAUAUUUUCAAGAUGUUGCUUGAUCUGUAGUAGGGGAGCACAACAAGAGUAGCAACGACGUAUUCAACCUCAUUAGUAGAAAGAGCCACACAGUUUAUUUCUUUCUACCCCAUGAGAUAAAGUAUGACCCCAGAAAAUGUGUCGUUCCAGAAGUGCUUUUUCUAUCCAAUAGAUAUUCAACAUAAUCAGCAUCAACAUAUCCAACCAAAUUAAAAUAAUCUCCUGAACAAUAGACGAGGACUAGGUCCUGCGUUCCAUUAGGAUACCUCAAACUUCCCUUGGCACCUGUUGAUACCUAAGUUUUCUCUAUAUCUAUUUUAUAUGUAGAGUACCUUCAAAAUAGCAUAUGUACGAAUAUAUAAGUAUCUCCAAGUGUUUCCUUAUUUUUUCUUAAUUUUAAAAGAUUUUUAAAUCAAUUUACCCCCAUAUUUUGUUCUUAAAAAAUUCAAUAACUAUUUCUAAAAUUAUUAGCUUGGUAAUUCAUUGAUUGAAAUUUUAUAUUUAUGCUAAAAUAUAGCUAAGAUAAUUUUUGCAUAUUUUUACAAAUUUAUUUAGUAUUUUAAAAGGUAAAUUGCAUAUAAUUACAAUAUUAGCCCCUUUUAAGAAUUAAUUGCGUUUAUGUUUACGAAAGUUAAGUCUAGCAUCUUAAAUUGAUACUUAUGUGUUAUAAAUUAUUUCCGUGCUUUUAAUUUAUUUCCAAAAUUUUAUUUACUAUUUUAUAUAAAAUAAAUGGGGGACAUGGCUGUUUAAACUUUAGCCAGAUUUCAUUUCGAUUGUAGUCCAAUUCUACUCCAAUUUGAAUCCCAAUUACCGCGGGCCGAUUUCUAUUUAACCCCGACCUUCAAGGUUCUACAGCAAUCAAGAGAGAGCAAAGAUGAAUUGAAUGGUGACUUUAGGGAAGAAAUUGAUGAAACAUAUUCACGAUCACAGACUUGUUUGAAUUUGAAUUUGAAUUUGAAUUCUGCAUAUGGGGUUGUGCAGUUAAGCAAAUGUUAUUGUUGCCUUUGACCAAAAGUUGUUUGCUGAAAUGUCUUGCUUGGCAUUUUAAUCCUCUGUAGGUUAUGUUCUGUCGGGCGGGUUACAAAUUUGGG
rnacentral:lncRNA from 1 species